rnacentral:rRNA from 1 species
GACGAACCGUGCGAACGUUGUUCGGAAUCACUGGGCUUAAAGGGCGCGUAGGCGGUCAGGGAAGUCCGGGGUGAAAUCUUUCGGCCCAACCGGAAAAGGGCCCCGGAUACUGCCUGACUGGAGGGGGAUAGGGGCGGACGGAACUUCCGGUGGAGCGGUGAAAUGCGUUGAUAUCGGAAGGAACGCCGGUGGCGAAAGCGGUCCGCUGGGUCCCUACUGACGCUGAGGCGCGAAAGCCAGGGGAGCGAACGG